CAGCAGCCACGGUAAUACAGAGGGUGCGAGCGUUAAUCGGAUUUACUGGGCGUAAAGCGUGCGUAGGCGGCUUCUUAAGUCGGAUGUGUAAUCCCUGAGCUUAACUUAGGAAUUGCAUUCGAUACUGGGAAGCUAGAGUAUGGGAGAGGAUGGUAGAAUUCCAGGUGUAGCGGUGAAAUGCGUAGAGAUCUGGAGGAAUACCGAUGGCGAAGGCAGCCAUCUGGCCUAAUACUGACGCUGAGGUACGAAAGCAUGGGGAGCAAACAGGAUUAGAUACCCCAGUAGUCCCUGUCUCUUAUAC
rnacentral:rRNA from 1 species